rnacentral:rRNA from 1 species
UACGUAGGGUGCGAGCGUUGUCCGGAAUUAUUGGGCGUAAAGGGCUCGUAGGCGGUUUGUCGCGUCGGGAGUGAAAACCAUGAGCUUAACUCAUGGCUUGCUUUCGAUACGGGCAGACUAGAGGCAUGCAGGGGAGAACGGAAUUCCUGGUGUAGCGGUGAAAUGCGCAGAUAUCAGGAGGAACACCGGUGGCGAAGGCGGUUCUCUGGGCAUAUCCUGACGCUGAGGAGCGAAAGUGUGGGGAGCGAACAGG